GGGUGUGCGCCAACGCAGGAGGGUUGGGCCAGACUGUAAAUCUGGAGUCUACGGACUUAGCAGGUUCGAAUCCUGUCACACCCA
rfam:Arsenicibacter rosenii strain SM-1 scaffold24, whole genome shotgun sequence.